rnacentral:lncRNA from 10 species
GGAGUGGGGGACACAGGUACUGGGAGAGAGUAGAGACACAGAGACAAGAGAGAAAAGGCAACAAAGACAAAGCCAGAGACGCCCAGCCCGAGAGACAGAGCCACACGGAGAGAAUGGAGAGGGGAGCAGGGUCAGAGGGCCCGGACGACGCAGAGAAGGACGCGAAAGGACGGAGAGCACCCACUGCUCAUCUGAAUUCUAGAGAACCACUCAAGUGCAUAUAGACGGCAUCCAUCCUAAGAAGGAAAGUGCUCUCUAAGAAGCCACUAUGCCUGAAAUGCCACCAUAUGUAUACACCAUUCCACUAUGGAAAACAUUGCCUUUUCGGGGCUCUUCCUGUGAAAUGCAGGCCAUGAGCUCUUGCUGGACAUACCAGAACAAAGACAUAGUCUCUUCAAGAUGGCAUUCACAGCCAUAGGGCAGGACGACAGGUGGGCGACAACCAUAGCCAGCAGAAGAGCAGACACUGGAACAGAGGUUCAAACCAACAACUAUGGAGCGAGCUGAGGUGGUAACUCAUGGUCCGGGGAGCUGAGAAAGUCCUGAGGGAUCUCUGGCUUUUAUUGAAGCGUAAUACAUAUACAGAAAAAUUCACCUAUCAUAAGUAUGCAUCUUGGUAAAUUUUCACAAGGAAUAUACCCAUGGAACCAACAUCCAGAUCAAAAUCUGUCAGGCGUCUAGCACCCAGAAGCCCCUGCGGGUCCCUGCCAGUUACUAUGUGCCCCCAAGGCUGACCACUGUCCUGUCUUCUGGUACCACAGGUUUGUUUUGCCUGUUUUUUGAACUUUAUAAAUGCAAGUGUACAGUAUGAACUGUGUCGUGUU